UACAGAGGGGGCAAGCGUUGUUCGGAAUUACUGGGCGUAAAGGGCGCGUAGGCGGCCCGCUAAGUCGAACGUGAAAUCCCUGGGCUCAACCCAGGAACUGCGUCCGAUACUGGUGGGCUUGAAUCCGGGAGAGGGAUGUGGAAUUCCAGGUGUAGCGGUGAAAUGCGUAGAUAUCUGGAGGAACACCGGUGGCGAAGGCGGGUCUCUGGACAGUUCCUGACGCUGAGGCACGAAGGCCAGGGGAGCAAACGGG
rnacentral:rRNA from 1 species